AUGUUUAAUAUAUAGAAUGCAAAGUGGAAGAAGGCCGGAGAAAUUUGACAAUUUUAAUGAUAAAGUAUAUGUAGAUAUAUAAAAAGUUUUGAUAUUCUUUGCCUUUCCCUUUGACCAAUGUGUGUAUGAAGAAAAAACGGUAAAUAAAAAUAUAGCCAUUAAUAAUAUGAAAGUUUAAAACCAAAACACCAGAUCCAAAUAUUAGAAUCCAAAAUACUAGACCACCAACUUAGAACCAUUCAAAACAUAAAGAAGAAAAAAAAACAUAAGUAAUCUUGUUAACGAACAUAAGUAAUCUUGUUGCUGAGGAAUCAAAGCAAUAAUGCAAUUUAUGCAAAAAGCCAGUAAGAACAUAUCAAAAAAAAAAAGCCAGUAAGAACAUAUCAAGUUAGUUUUGGAUGAAUGAAUUCUCUAAUCAUGUAUGUUUUCCUUUUUAGCAACUUUUGUUGUCUAGAGAGAGAGAGAGUUUGUAUAUAAUAAGCGGCAUUGUUUGUUAAGAUUUUGGACAGUGGAAAAUAAACUUCUUAAGGCAAUUGACUUAUAGCUAAAACACUGAGAUGCAAAACUGGGACAUUUGGCCUGGGUGGCCUGGCGGGUUUACU
rnacentral:lncRNA from 1 species